AUUGUACGCUGUCGGCAGGCUUAACACAUGCAAGUCGAGCGAGCGGCGGACGGGUGAGUAAUGUCUGGGAAACUGCCUGAUGGAGGGGGAUAACUACUGGAAACGGUAGCUAAUACCGCAUACCAUCAGAUGUGCCCAGAUGGGAUUAGCUAGUAGGUGGGGUAAUGGCUCACCUAGGCGACGAUCCCUAGCUGGUCUGAGAGGGUGAUCGGCCACACGGGAACUGAGACACGGUCCAGACUCCUACGGGAGGCAGCAGUGGGGAAUAUUGCACAAUGGGCGCAAGCCUGAUGCAGCCAUGCAGCGUGGGUGAAGAAGGCCUUCGGGUUGUAAAGGACUUUCAGCGGGGAGGCGUGACUCGCAGAAGAAGCACCGGCUAACGCCGUGCCAGCAGCCGCGGUAAUAC
rnacentral:rRNA from 1 species